CUGUCGUGGUUCGUUUCGCUCCCCUGCGCUUUCCCCCCAAUUUUUCCUCUCCACAAUCUUCUGAGUCUCUCAUUCUCACACAAAGGCGCGCUGUGCGCAACCCUAAUCGCUUGUGAAAACCUAGCAAUUGAACUCCGUCACUGCUUUCAUUGCCACUAUCCUUAUAACGAGCUUUUUGUCGUUCUGAUUUUCUAUUCUCGAUCUCCCUACUCGGACGCAGUUAUUUCUCUCCGCGCUGGUUCCGUACUUCUCUGGUUCAAGCCGGAUCUCCGAGUAGACGAUCAUUCGGACCUCGUAGUCGCCACCUAGGCAGGAUGUCUGAGUCGAAGAUCAUCCGGCCCUUGUAGCCUCCUCCGAGUAUCUGGCAGUGGUUCCCUUUACGUCUUUGAGCAGCGGACUCUUUUUCGUGCGCAAAGAGAAAUCCUAAAGGACUUCCUUCAUGAAAAAGAGCACUGCUAUGAUCAUAAUCCCUUAACUUGAUGUUGUGCUUCCUGAAAACAAAGCAAGUGUGUAAAAGAAGGCUCUGACGUUUUGGUGUAAUAUCCUUUGUCAUGGUUCUUUAUUGAAGGGGUAAAGCUUAUAGAGAACGUUUGGAGGUGAGUUCAUCUGGGGACAUCCAGUGGUCAGUGAACUGAAUUUUUAUAAUAUUUUAAAACAAGUGCGAUUAUUAAUCAUCUUGUGCUGUCUCAAGAACUUUCUAAUAUUUGCUUGGAUCCUGUAUUGUAUUUUAGCAAGGCACGUGAAGUUUUCCAGAUGAUGGACCUUUUGCAGAUGUCUGAAGGUAAAUCUUUCCAAAUUUCUCGAUAUAUUAUACAGUUGAGGGUUUCUUUUUAGUUUUUGCCCAAUGUGCUUAACUCAUCAUUAGUGAAAUCAGGUAAGUAAAUCAAACUGGUUUACUGCUUGGAUAGAAGUAUAGAACAUGAUUUUAAGAAUUUUGAACUCACGAAGCCCAAUAUGUUGACUGUAAGGUUGUUAGAAAGGGAUAUCAAAGUUGAAAGCGUGGGAAGAAUAUUAAUGGUUGUUUUUUUUUGUGAUAAAAGUAAGAAAUUCAAUUAUAUUUAAUUAAAAGGCAAAUUCUUGAUUGUUCUGCGAACUCUAUAACAUGUAAUGUCAGCGUAUGACUAACUAUUGCUUGUGCGUUUGUGACCAACUGCCAAGUUUUAAAGUAGCGCAUUUGAGAAAACGUUGUAGUGACCUUGCAUAUUAUUGUGGAAGCAUUUUUCAUUAACUGAAAAGCUGCAUAUAACUAUUUUCAUGCAAUCAUGUGUUGUUUAUUAUUUGUUUGGUGGCGGUGAAAACUUGCCCUGUUAGCAUAUGAUUCUUUUGUUAUUUUUAGUCUGGGUUUUUGGGGUUCCGGUAAGGUGUGAAUUAAAGGGAGUACUGUAUUCUUAUGCUGUUUUUAAUUAUGUGGUACUUCUAUGUUGCGAUCUGCCUGUUAUAAGAAUGCUGGCUUGCCUUCUCUGUAA